rnacentral:rRNA from 1 species
UACGUAGGGGGCAAGCGUUGUCCGGAAUCAUUGGGCGUAAAGCGCGUGUAGGCGGCCCGGUAAGUCCGCUGUGAAAGUCCAGGGCUCAACCCUGGGAUGCCGGUGGAUACUGUCGGGCUCGAGUCCGGAAGAGGCGAGUGGAAUUCCUGGUGUAGCGGUGAAAUGCGCAGAUAUCAGGAGGAACACCCGUGGCGAAAGCGGCUCUCUGGGACGGUACUGACGCUGAGACGCGAAAGCGUGGGGAGCAAACAGG